UGCUGCUGAGGAUCUUCUUCUGGUGUCCGGCCAGCGUCACGCCCAUCUUCCCCAGCUCGCUGUGAGAACAACAGGGCCAUGGGGAGCCUAGUAACCCUUGUAAAGGCCCAACGAAGAGCCACCAUUCGGGUGAUCCUUGCAGCCCCCGCUCUCCAAGACCCAUCCAUGAGGCCGUGUGGUGAGGGCACUAUUCCCAGUUUGGACAAUUUUCCAGCAGGCCUUUAAUGGUUCUCCAAUGCUUUGUUGGCACACGUCACUGGGAAAGACUAAGACACUGUGGUAUGAGUGGGAAAUCAGAUCGGAGCUCAGAGAAUAGAUCUGGAUUCUGAGUACAGCCUGAAUGCUGAAAUAGACAGAUAUUUGCCCAAUAAAUACCUAAUUAUUUUACCUUAAGCUGAGCAAGGCCUCCCAUCUUGUUUUCAUUUUUGUUUUUUUUCCAAAGGUUUCAUCAGAGUUUGGACUUGCUGAACCUCUCUUUCUCUCUCUCUGCCUCUCAGCAAUACAGAUAUGCCAUGUGAGGGGUGACCCGGGCGGCCGUGGGGAAAACUGAGAUGAAUCGCAGCCCCGAGGAUGGGCCGCUGAUGUCUAAAUCAUAGUGCAGAUGAAAACACUGGACACCUGUAAAUUCCUCCAGGUCAGAGGGACACUCACAUCCUGAUUGGACAUCUCCCAGUAGGGCCGCUCGCCGUACGAUAUGACCUCCCACAUGACGAUGCCGUAGCUCCACACGUCGCUGGCGGAUGUGAACUUCCGAUGGUCACAUAUUUUUAAAGAUAGAGGACAACAGCCACUCACUGCUCAGACAAGUCAAGGAUGGUCUUACCCUGGUGGUGUAGGCGGCCUCCGGGUCGUCCUCCAGGACGCGGGACAGGCCGAAGUCGGACACCUUGCACACCAGGUUGCUGUUGACCAGGAUGUUCCUUGCUGCCAGGUCGCGGUGCACGUAGCUCAUGUCUGACAGCCCGCCAAGACACUGGAUGCUCCUGGCAAAGCAUGCUUGGAAGGGUGGAAGCCCACAAGGGUCGGCGUGGUAGUGGAUGCACGGCCGGGACCGUGUCUGUCGUCCAUGUUCACCCAUCCAUCUCUGCUGCAUUUCCAUGUUCCGCCCGGCCAGAGGCAGCAGGUGUGAGAAGGGCGACAGGAAGAUUGCAACAGCUGCCCUACAACUAAUGUCGCUGUCACUCCGGACACAGCAGGACAACUGAGGAAACUCAUGGUGGGGGGAUGGGUGGGGAGACUGCGAUGGCUGACCAUCUGACGUCCGUUGUCAGCCCUCCGAAUGAGCGCUCCGUCACAUAGAUGGAUGGGAGGGCCACGGGAAUUGAUCCUGCGGGAAACGUCGUGGUCUUGCUGGACAGAUGCUGGUGACCGACUGGACUCAGCAUGGUCAAGGUAGAAGUAUAUCUGUAUAUCUGUGUGUGUAUGUGUGUGUCUGUCUGCAAGGAUCGCAUGGGUUAAAUGACUGCUGUACCCUGAAGGACUGAUAGGUUUAUAAAGAGGCACAUUUACCAGACUUAAAUCUGGCCCUAAAAAUCUGGGAAAAUAGUCCAAGAAAACAGAUAUAAUACUAUUGCUAUGACUAGUGUGCAAAAUACAGGGGAGUCCGGGGUGGAUCCGACACCCCUGAUUAACCCAUGAGACCCCCUGAAAGCCUCAAAAGCAACAUUUUAAGGGGGUCUCAAGAUCGGUAUUGCGCAACAAUAGGGAGAUGGGGACCCCCCCCCCCCAAAUAUUGACAGGUAUUUCGCUCACUGGCUAUGACAUAUUUAGUGCUAUAUCCGGUAUUCUGGGUAACGGACUUCCUCAGGAGAAUAAAAAUAAUAAGAAAGGCUAAAUUCUUGAUCUAAUAAAAGGACAUGUGAAAAAUCGCUUGGGCUGGGUGUAGAAGUCACUGCAAGUUACCCAUGCGUUUUCAGUUCACUGCCCUGCUGAUCAGAACCAGCACAAUCUCUCCAAUGACCGGGCCUCCGAUAGCGUCACAGUCCUAAGCCCAAACACGCCAGUCCCGGCUGGAUGCCCUGACCGCUUAAGACAACAGUCCGUGAAAGGUGAAGAAACUCCAGAGGGCAAAACAAGGACAGAGCACUUUGGGCCACCACCAAUCCGAGCUGUGAUCUGUGAAAUUGGUCUGGAUCUGCUGCCAUCAUCCCCUACGCUGAGUGCCAGUGACCCCACCCCAGCCCUUGAUGACAUCACUGUGGAGCCCCUUAUCCAUGCUGUCUAGUCAUGGUCUGAAGACCCAAACACUGUGUCAGCCCAUGACAGGAGAAGCCAAGAGAGCCCCCUCACCCCUGCCGCCUGCACCUCAACCACACCUGACCGGGAGCCAUAUCCUCUACACGACCCUCAAUAACCCUCGGCCUAUAUUACAUUUUAAAAUUUAAUGUUCACUUUAGGAUGACAGGAAGAGCGGAGGCAGAGAUGGUUCCUCAUUCAGGUUUCACAACCCAUACUGACUUUUUUGUUAUUUUCCCUCCCUUCUUACUUUUUAACAUAAGGCAGAAUUAUUAAUACGGUUUCUCACCGCGGAAGGCAAGUGAAAGUCAUGAGGCUUUUAUUAGGCAUGGUGUAGCCACACUGGAAAUUAAUAUGAGUGCAAUGUUAGCAACAACACAUGCUGCUGCAGGCAAAUGGACUUUGGGUAGCUCUUGCACCGGCCUGUGGAGCCCAAGUCAGUAUAAGCUGUGAAGUGCACUAUGUUGUAUCAUUAAGAGCGCCCCCUAGCAGCAGGAAUAAAUUGGGGGAGGCGAGAAUCAACCACAGGCAUCAACUGCCCCUACGCAAAUCAUCCUAAAACACAGAAAAUGUUCAUAGCGACCCAUCAUUUAACUCUUCCAUCUUGAUCUGUAUUAUAUUUGGAUGGUUUAAACUGUAGUUGAACAUCAUGUAAACACAGAUAAUUAGCUGCAGCAAUGGAACCCCAUCUGGACAAGUUUCCAUCGCGGAUGUCAGGGGACCAGGGGCCGCGGGCUGUCUGGUGGGGAUGAUACUGGAUGGGGUGGCAUGGAAGAUUGUCUGUUUUGCCUGAGGCACUGAUCAGAGGGGUGCGUCCAUCGGGCUUGGCGAAUAUUACGGUCUAUAGAGGAAAAUGAAUCACAGCGAACCUUGUGGCAAUGAAAGUUCAUGUGCACGCGUGUGUGUAUUAUCCCAUUUUUUAAAUAAAUGAGCAGAAGUAAAUCUUUACAUUGGAAAGGCAACCAGUUCACAACUUGCCAACCCUUUGUUGUAAACUCAGGCAAAGCUCCAGUGAAAGCAGCAGGAGGCACUGAAUGGCCAUCAGACUCUCACGAGAGAGAAGAAGAAACUUGGGAAGAGCUAAUUGGGCUGCAAUCCAAGGUUUUAUGUCAUCUACUGAAAACCACUUAAACGUACAAAGAAAAACAACAACAUGGAGGGCAACAGCAAAUCCUUCAGUGCUGGGUAGGGUAGGUGCGUACUCAGGUGGCGCCGGUUUACCACCCCACACUCAAAGGAGCUGUAAAAACGUCUGAGAGACACUUCCGAAUUAUUGCCACAAGAUAAUGUUUAAUUGCCCAUCUCGGUUGUCUCGUGUCUCUUGCCUUAUUGAAAUGGUGUGAAUCCAACCGUAGCCUUUCAUUUGGCAAUAAGCGCAUGACCUUGGAAUUAGACCCACUGUAUACUAACCUCCCUGAGCACAACUGUUAAAAAGGUUUUUGUGGGUGUGAGAUCAGCAUACACCCACAUCCCUACUGUUUAACCCUCUGUCGCUGUGGGGAUUCUCCGGUGAAGCUGUACCAAAAUGACAUUUAGUUACUAUGUCUGGUCUGUGGUCCCUUAUGAAGAUGUUCAGUGGCUGCUUUAAAAAAUGGAUUGCAUGGUCUGAAGGUGCUUGAUGAAAAUGUAGGAUAUCUCUUCAAGUUCACUGCAUGAUUAAGGCAGCUGAUCAAGGAUAUACAGAUAAACGCUAUUGAAUAUCUCGGAAAACCUUGUCUCGAAUAAGGUUAAAGACUCAGAACGUCGACGAAGCAAAGGUACAUUGACUGAAUCUGCAUUAAAACCACAGAUAGUGGCCCCAAUUAGAUUUAAGAGAGAAGAGCUUGUCAACAUUCAAUAAUGAACUCAUUAAUGAAGCUAGAUCCAUUGUUAAUGGAUUCCUUUGUUGUUUUUAAAGGAUAAUAAGCAGGCAUAUGGUGGGGGGUGGGGGGGCGCUCUUGGGUGCCAGCGAGUUACAUUUGUGUCAGACGCAGAGGUUUAGAAAGAAAAGAAGGUGACAUUUCAUAAUAGAAUUAGUAUCCAUAAUCGUUCUUGAAAGUGAAAAGGUAGGUGUAUCGCCUGUUGAUCCUUCAGUCACGCCGAAACUCGCCUGAUGAGUGUGGCCGUGCGUGCAUCUCCCCAGGAUAGGGCCUGUAAUCAUCCGAUUGCGGAUGACCUGUGAGAGGGAGGGAACCUGGGAGGGGCUUUUUACUCCACUGCUUUAAUCACUUGUGGUGGGCCCUCCAGUUAAAGCAAAUCAGUGGCACUCACUCAUUUUGUCUGCAUCAACAGACGAAAUGAGGGGAUCCGAAGGUGAGCGGAGUCUCUGCAGUGCCGGGAUCUGGGUGUACAUGACUGCCAGCCCGGUAGCGUGGCAUGGAUACCCAUUGGAAAGAAUCAAAUGACCCCUCUGCCCAUAUCAGAACAUCCCAACUGCCCCAUCUGUAUGCAUCACACUGCUUUAUUUAUUGUAAUAAGAAUCUUAAAUCUUAUAUUUACUUGUGCCCAACAAACUGGGGUCUGUUCCUCAGAAGCUGUUUUUCAAGCCAUAGAGUUAGUACGUCUUCAUUGUCUCUAACUGGAACCAUGGAGGAAUAUGGAUGGGAUCAUGGCAUCAUUCAGGUGGGUGGAGACAAGGUGGGGAAUGGAACAUGGGCAUCUGACUGGUGAUAACAAGGAAUGCUCAGUUAGCAAGUGGUGUCUCUCUUUUGAUCUCCAUGAAACCCUACCAGGAGAAAGGCUGCUAUUGACAGAUGUCAGACUGCGGUGCGUCAGAUUAGCAGUAACAGCAUGAAAAGCCAUUCAGUUCUAAGAACAGUGCAUGAGCUCAUGCAGAGGUCCCAAAAACAAAGGGGAAGACCAAACCCACAAGUCAAUAUCAGACCAAAUUACUACUACUAAUUACUCCUCGGACAGAGUGCUCUCAGUUCUGGACCAGACCUGAAGCAGAAAAAUUCACUUUUUAUCCUUGAACAAUCAAAUGGCGUAACUUGAAAAUGACGUGUGUCUGUUGGUUUGUGUAAGCAGAGUGAUAUUACACUGGCUUUUUUUAAAACAUACAUUAGGAACAAAGUUACGUAUUUUAGUUUCUUCUUGAGGAGAACGAGGACAAAGGGAGACGAAAGCGGCCUGGUGAACACACUCCAUCUGCUGACUGGUGCGUGCCAGUCGCUCAUACCCGCCUGCCUGCCAGGUCUGUUAAAUCGGAGUGGCGGCUAUUUCAAUAACGCGGCCGGCGCCCACUGAUGAACCCGUCUGCGAGUUUUUGGCUGUUAGCGGCAGCACCGUCACACCCACAGCUAAUUGGCACACAGCAGCGCAGGCAGGCAUGGGCAUUUGAUACCCGCGACAGCCACACGCAGCCAGGUUUUCAGCCUCCCCUCACACGCAACGAGCCCGCUUGUAAAUAAACUCUUCUCCUCAUAACUGUCCAAUUCAGAGAGGUGGGGGAAAGGCUCUGUCACAAGAUUUCAAUGGGAAUAUGAUUCUGUGCAGGACCUCACACUGACGUAGCCACUGUGUCCCUUCCUCUAUGCCGGCCAUAACCAUGGGAUAUGUGGCGGCCAGUAGCUGUAGACGUCAACAAUACAGCAAAAAAAAAAUAAAAAAUGUGGCAGUGUUCACUCCUUGGCUGCAGAGAAAUGGAAAUAGACAGCAUGCAAAAAAAAAUCAGUCUGACCACUGCUGAAAAAUUAUUUAAGGCAGCUAUUAAAUUUACAAAGCCUGCUUUACUUGUAUGGAAUGGAAGAAAGCAUUCACUAACUGUAAAUAAAUGUUACUAAAUGAUUCAGUGUAUGGACGUCUUUAACUUCAAGCAGACGUUUUGUUUGUAUUUGGUUCUUUCAUUUAUUCUGGUUUAAUGGACAAAUAAAGUACCAUACACAUGUUCAGAGACUAGUCAGACUAUGUUUCCUGUUACCCUGUGGACAAAGCCAAGGUCGGCCCACCUCCCCCAGCCCAGCUAUUUAACCCAGAGCUCUUCAGCUGUUUGAGGGUCUCUUCCAUCACCGGUGUUCCCUCUGGGGCUGGUCUGUAGGACAUUCGGUCAAUGUGCUGAGUUCUGUGACCCGUGACAGUUUCAUCUGGACCCACUACCCAGCAAGACUGCCAUGUGCUCAGGUGAUCGGCCGACAUUACAGGUGAUGAUUUCUGCAUUAAGAUUCACGCACACACAUACACGAACACUUUGAUGCCUUGACUUUAUAGUCCACACAGCAAAUGCACAGCUAAUUUGUCUUCUGGAAAACUCCCAAUCCAAAUAUAACAUUCUAGUGGCUUUUCUGUUGACGCCUAAUUCAUUUAUCAAAACAAAUCAUUACUGGAACAAAAUGACAUUGGUGUCACUAGAAGAAGGGACUAUGGGUAAUAGUUAUGUGUCUAUUUAGGGCUCCAGUGACCCCCAGACUUCCCUCUUCCCCAACCACCACUGUGGGAGCAGGGAUAGCAUGAAUCCCAGAGCUGAGACAGACAGUGAGAGUGAGAGGAAACCCAACACAACAAACUCCAAUGCUGAUUCAUUUAAACAAACUUCAGUUUAUAUCACAAAGAGCACAAGCACAGCAGUGUAAACUAGGUUAACCCUACAAAGCGGUGUGGCCAAUGUCCCGACUUCCCCAGACCAGAGAUGCGGACAGGCGCAUGGCUGACAUCUCCUGCGACCCCCCCCCCCUUUGCUCUCAACAAGCGCCUCUAUCCACUUCCAACAUCAGGUAAUUACCUCCCCCCCACCCACACACUCAGGGAAGUGCACCCUAGGUCCUGAGUCGAGGCCUCAUGCAUAUUUAAAUGCCCUGCCCCCAGGCGUCAGUCCGGGGGACGGGGGCUGCCUUCUUGUCAUUUCCAAAUUACCCACGAUGCCCUAGUGAGCCAAACUUUAUCGCCGGCUGUGUUUUUUUUUUUUUGGCCAUGUUGGGCUUUUUUUUGUUUUUUUGCCCACUGAGAGAGCCUCUUCUCGACGAGAGCUUACAAAAGCACUUCAGAGAGCUUAAAACUCCACAAAGUUCAUCUUCUCAGCCUCUUUGCUGAACGGCAUUUUUUAAAGAGGAAAAAAAAAAACAAAUCAUUUCAGCGCUCUCCAGGUUUCAGGCUGACGUGCGGGCAACUUUAAAAUAUGCCCAGGCCAUUAUUGUGA